rnacentral:rRNA from 1 species
UGCGGAAGGAUCAUUGCCGAUGCCCCCCGAACGGAACGACCCGCGGACCGGUUAGAGAACACCGCCGCCGUCGGGGCCGCGCGCCCGGACGGCAGAACAACCAACCCCCGGCGCCAGUCGCGCCAAGGAAACGGAAAGCACGCGCGCGCACGCCCCCGGGCACCCGACCCUCGGGACCCCGUACGGGGAGCGCCGCGGCACUGGUAUGCCACGCAUACACAGAACGACUCCCGGCAACGGAUAUCUCGGCUCUCGCAUCGAUGAAGAACGUAGCGAAAUGCGAUACUUGGUGUGAAUUGCAGAAUCCCGUGAACCAUCGAGUCUUUGAACGCAAGUUGCGCCCGAAGCCAUCCGGCCGAGGGCACGCCUGCCUGGGCGUCACGCAACGUCGCCCCCACCCGAUCGCGGGCGGGGCGGAGGAUGGCCUCCCGCGAGCACCCGUCUCGCGGCCGGCCGAAACAGGAGCGCGCGAGGGCAGCCGCCACGAUCGAGGGUGGGAGGAGAGGAACUCACUCACUCGAGACCGGCCGUGCGCGAGCUGCCGCCGAGCGACGCUGCAGGACCCACGCGCGCCACGGGCGCCGCGGACGCGACCCCAGGUCAGGCGGGGACACCCGCUGA